rnacentral:rRNA from 1 species
CGUUGCCUACGGGAGGCAGCAGUGGGGGAUAUUGCACAAUGGGGGGAACCCUGAUGCAGCGACGCCGCGUGGGUGAAGAAGCGCCUCGGCGCGUAAAGCCCUGUCAGCAGGGAAGAAAAUGACGGUACCCAAAGAGGAAGCUCCGGCUAACUACGUGCCAGCAGCCGCGGUAAUACGUAGGGAGCAAGCGUUGUCCGGAAUUACUGGGUGUAAAGGGAGCGUAGGCGGGAUGGCAAGUAGAAUGUUAAAUCCAUCGGCUCAACCGGUGGCUGCGUUCUAAACUGCCGUUCUUGAGUGAAGUAGAG